UCCCAGUUUCCCCCUCCCCGCUCAGACCACUCCCAGACAGUCCUAGCAACAUUCUUGGUUGACAAAUUGCUCUUUGCUAAGAAGCUGCUUUUGUUUUAUUUACAUUUUUUUUAAACUGAAAACAAUCACAGUAAGGUACUUAAUUGUUACCCAGAAAUUAUUUGAUUUUGAGAUAAAACAGAUGCAUUGGGCCUUUAAUAGCUAGCACCUACCCAGACGGUUCUAGAAGUGUGGGGGAUGUAUUCUGAAAUCUCCAUCCCCUCCAGUGGUUUUAGCGAGCUGUAGCCUGGCUGAAUUCUGACACCACUUUCAGUAUGGGUUUAACUUCUGUUCACUAUUUCCAUACUAAACAAACAUUGAGAAAAUGAAAUUAUUUUUGUACUGAUCAAAUUGUUUGACUGCUCAUGUGCCAAAUUCGUAAUGAAAUCCAGUGAUUGUUUGUGUUAGCUAUCUCCUGGGGCAUAACCUCUCCUCUUGGUUUUAUGUACAGUGCAGUUUUAAAAUAGGGGCAUUUCUCAAUAGAUUAGGGUCUGAAUGACUAUUGAAAACGUUUGUAGAACACUCCUAUAAAAAUUAUUGAAGUGUAGAAGUUUGGUUUAUUUAGAUGAUUGUAAAUACAUUGUGUGUAGGUGGAACUGUAGAUUAUUUGAGAUCUCACUCAUACUGCAUUGUUACAGCAUUGCUACAGUUAAUCAUUUGACGUGUCAGUUGGGGAACACCACAUGGGAUGAUGACAGCCCUUAAUAUUAUAUUGUAGUGUAUUGGGAGGGCCCCAAAAACCAAACGGUAAGGUGACUAUUUGAAGGGAUGAGGUGAAGGAUGUUAGGAACAGUUCAAUUAAUCAGGUAGUGCUGGGUCCUCCACUGCUGAGUGAGCACAGAAGUAUACAUACAUAGCUUUUAACAGCGAGGGUCAUGUCAUGUUCAGAAGAGAACUUCAAACCAUGUAUGUUCCAGUGGAUGCCUUGCGCAAGGGUCAGACGGUAGAGCAUUGUGCUUGCAACACCAAGGGUCGUAGGUUUGAAUCCUGCUGGGGCCACUCAUACGUGAAAUGUAUGCACGGAUGACUGAAUCACUUUGAAUAAAGACCUCUUCUAUAUGGCAUACUUUUGACACUCAAAUUUGCACUAUUGUACCUGUAAUUGAAAGGAAUGGAUCAUUGAGAUUUUAUGGUUUUAUAAAUACAAUCAUUUUUUCAAAUGAAUGAUUGGAUCUUGUUUUGUGGUGUUGGAGGUGUAUAUAACAACUAUGCUUGUGGUUGACUUUGCAACAUUCUCCUGGCAGGGAUAAUUUUUUGAAUGUCUCAACUCUUUGGCUUCGUCUCACCAGAUCUCUGUCAAACACUAUACAUUUCAAUAAAAAUGUAAUAUCUGUAAUUCAAUAAAACCAUCCCAUGAGGACAGCCAUUGUUGCAUGUAAGACUUCUUUCUCUUGCCUCAUAAUUAACUGACUGAUAACCACUGCAGCUUUUAAUGUAAGCUUGCGGGAUCAGUGGCUUUGCAAGGCUACUCUUUC
ensembl:lncRNA